AUACGGAGGAUGCAAGCGUUAUCCGGAUUUAUUGGGUUUAAAGGGUGCGUAGGCGGAUGAUUAAGCGUGAGGUGAAAUGCCACUGCUCAACAGUGGAACUGCCUCGCGAACUGGUUGUCUUGAAUGCUCCUGCCGUGGGAGGAAUGUGUGGUGUAGCGGUGAAAUGCAUAGAGAUCACACAGAACACCGAUUGCGAAGGCAUCUCACGAAGGGGUGAUUGACGCUGAGGCACGGAAGCGUGGGGAUCAAACAGGAUUAGAUACCCUGGUAGUCCGCACAGUAAACGAUGAUAACUAGUUGUUGGCGAUAAACAGAUCAGUAACUGAGCGAAAGCGUUAAGUUAUCCACCUGGGGAGUACGACCGCAAGGUUGAAACUCAAAGGAAUUGACGGGG
rnacentral:rRNA from 1 species